CCUACGGGCGGCAGCAGUGGGGGAUAUUGCACAAUGGGGGAAACCCUGAUGCAGCGACGCCGCGUGGGAGAAGAAGGAUUUCGGGAGGGAAAGCCCUAACAGCAGGGAAGAAGAAAGGACGGGACCGGAGGAAGAAGCACAGGCUAAAGACGUGCCAGCAGCCGCGGUAAUACGUCUGGUGCAAGCGUUAUCCGGAUUUACUGGGGGGAAAGGGAGCGCAGGCGGAACGGCAAGCCUGCUGUGAAAGCCCGCGGCCCAACCGCGGGACUGCCUUGGGAACUCCCGGGCUGGAGUGCCGGAGAGGUAGGCGGAAUUCCUCGUGUAGCGGUGAACUGCGUAGAUAUUAGGCG
rnacentral:rRNA from 1 species